rnacentral:tRNA from 1 species
GCCGGUGUGGCGGAAUUGGUAGACGCAGCAGACUCAAAAUCUGCCAUGGGCAACCAUGUGUCGGUUCGACUCCGACCACCGGCACCA